CUAGGCAGUCAGUUAUAGUAAGUAGUUGUAGCGACGCAUCAUCAAAAAUUCUGUUCACUUUCGCUAUGGACGUCCACUCGGUCAUAAUAAUGGCGUUUUACAUGAAAACCCUCGCAACCAUACACAGGAAAAACAAGU
ensembl:ncRNA M79.13 ncRNA